rnacentral:rRNA from 1 species
GUCUACGGCCAUGCUACCCUGAACAUGCCCGAUCCCAUCUGAUCUCAGAAGCUAAGCAGGGUUGGGCCUGGUUAGUACUUGGAUGGGAGACCACCUAGGAAGACCAGGUGCUGUAGGUG